CAGUAGCCGCGGGAAUACGAAGGGUGCAAGCGUUAAUCGGAAUUACUGGGCGUAAAGCGUGCGUAGGCGGUUUGUUAAGUCUGUUGUGAAAGCCCCGGGCUCAACCUGGGAAUGGCAAUGGAUACUGGCGAGCUAGAGUGUGUCAGAGGAUGGUGGAAUUCCCGGUGUAGCGGUGAAAUGCGUAGAGAUCGGGAGGAACAUCAGUGGCGAAGGCGGCCAUCUGGGACAACACUGACACUGAGAGACGAAAGCUAGGGGAGCAAAUGGGAUUAGAUACCCCCGUAGUCCCUGUCUCUUAUAU
rnacentral:rRNA from 1 species